AGAGUUUGAUCCUGGCUCAGGACGAACGCUGGCGGCGUGCCUAACACAUGCAAGUCGAACGAAGCACUGUGGAUAGAGACUUCGGUCAAUUGAAGCUUUGACUUAGUGGCGGACGGGUGAGUAACGCGUGAGGAACCUGCCUUUCGGUGGGGGGCAACAGUUGGAAACGACUGCUAAUACCGCAUAAUGUGUUUUGGGGGCAUCCCCAGAACACCAAAGAUUUAUUGCUGAAAGAUGGCCUCGCGUCUGAUUAGAUAGUUGGUGGGGUAACGGCCUACCAAGUCGACGAUCAGUAGCCGGUCUGAGAGGAUGAACGGCCACAUUGGAACUGAGACACGGUCCAGACUCCUACGGGAGGCAGCAGUGGGGAAUCUUCCGCAAUGGGCGCAAGCCUGACGGAGCAACGCCGCGUGAGUGAAGAAGGGUUUCGACUCGUAAAGCUCUGUUGUCGGGGACGAACGUGGAGACGGCGAAUAGCCGUUUCCAAUGACGGUACCUGACGAGGAAGCCACGGCUAACUACGUGCCAGCAGCCGCGGUAAUACGUAGGUGGCGAGCGUUGUCCGGAAUUAUUGGGCGUAAAGGGAGCGCAGGCGGGAAGGUAAGUCUAUCUUAAAAGUGCGGGGCUCAACCCCGUGAGGGGAUGGAAACUAUCUUUCUUGAGUGCAGGAGAGGAAAGCGGAAUUCCUAGUGUAGCGGUGAAAUGCGUAGAUAUUAGGAGGAACACCAGUGGCGAAGGCGGCUUUCUGGACUGUAACUGACGCUGAGGCUCGAAAGCGUGGGGAGCGAACAGGAUUAGAUACCCUGGUAGUCCACGCCGUAAACGAUGAAUGCUAGGUGUAGGAGGUAUCGACCCCUUCUGUGCCGGAGUUAACGCAAUAAGCAUUCCGCCUGGGGAGUACGGCCGCAAGGCUGAAACUCAAAGGAAUUGACGGGGGCCCGCACAAGCGGUGGAGUAUGUGGUUUAAUUCGACGCAACGCGAAGAACCUUACCAGGGCUUGACAUUGAGUGAAAGGACAAGAGAUUGUCCCCUCUCUUCGGAGACACGAAAACAGGUGGUGCAUAGCUGUCGUCAGCUCGUGUCGUGAGAUGUUGGGUUAAGUCCCGCAACGAGCGCAACCCCUAUCCUUUGUUGCCAGCACGUUAUGGUGGGAACUCAAAGGAGACUGCCGCGGACAACGCGGAGGAAGGCGGGGAUGACGUCAAGUCAUCAUGCCCCUUAUGUCCUGGGCUACACACGUACUACAAUGGGAUGGACAGAGAGCAGCGAAGCCGCGAGGCCAAGCGAACCCCAUAAACCAUCUCCCAGUUCGGAUUGCAGGCUGCAACCCGCCUGCAUGAAGUUGGAAUCGCUAGUAAUCGCAGGUCAGCAUACUGCGGUGAAUACGUUCCCGGGCCUUGUACACACCGCCCGUCACACCACGGAAGUCAUUCACACCCGAAGCCGGCAGGCUAACCUUUUGGAGGCAGCCGUCUAAGGUGGGGGCGAUGACUGGGGUGAAGUCGUAACAAGGUA
rnacentral:rRNA from 1 species